UUAAUUUGGUUUACGUUGUUCUUAUGGUGGUGCCAUCUACCAGUAUCCUACUUUCUAGUCUGCUUUUUGCACAGCUCUUUACCAUGGUUUGGAUAUGAAUUUGUCUGUAUUCCAUAUGGGCUACUCUUCUUUACUAGCAGAGUAAAUGAUUUAUCAUAAUCAUCCAAAAUUCUUAACAUUCAUUCAUAGCAAGUGAACGCUGCAAUGAAUCCUGGGCUGCAAAGCCAGGCAGCCUGGCUUUUAAGUUCCUCCUCCAUCACUAUUUAUGUAACCUUGAACAAUUACUUAAUUUCUCUGUGCCUCCAUUUCCUCAUCUAUAGAUUAGGGAUAAUGAUACUACCUACCUCACAGGAUUUUAAUGAGGAUCAUAUAAAUGAAUAUACAUAAAGUUAUUAGAACACUGGCUCAGAAAAGGGCAUGACUUUUAAGUAUACAGUUUUAUUCUGUUACCUUGGAGUGUAAGUAAUUUGAUUUAGAUGGAUGAAAUUAUCAACUGAGAUCUGAAGAAAUGGUUUGCACAUUUCUUACAAUAUGUAAUAUGUAGUAUUCAUCUAGUACCUGCUGUGUGCCAGAUGCUGGUCUUAUUCUGUAUGUUUGUGUUAAUCCUUAUAAUUGGGUGUUAGUCCCAUACUAUAGGUGAGGAGACUGAGGCUCAAAGAAUUCAAGUAAUGUUUCCACUGUCACAAAGCUAGUAAGUGAGAAGGCUGGGAUCUGUAAUCAAAACCUGUGUGUUGUUUGUAUUAUGUUAGCCUUAGGGUUAGUCACAUGAGUAUGUGGAAUAAUUACACACACAUACACGUAUGAAUAGUACGUAACUUCUGGAACUUUUGGCCAGCAAUAGUAAACAUUGGUCAGACAGCUAAAUGGGCAUGCUGAUUGUUAAAUUGUGAUUCUCGUACUCUAGCUAUAAGUUUGUCGAGAUGAACAUCUCAAGGUUUGAUUUUUAGCAUGGGGCCCUAGAGUAUGCAUUCUUACCAGAUGACUUCUAGUGAGAAUUAUUAAAGUAGCACUGCCGAGAGCUUGUUGGAGCUUGUUCUUCUCUUCACCCCAGCUCAGACCUAAGUCAGUUUGGUUUGAAAAAGCUCUGAAGGUUUAUUUUACUAAUCCUAUGUUGAGAACCAUUGCCUGUUUACCUACACGAUUUUGGUGCAAAUAGUCUUUGGAACACACUCAGGAUUUCUGCCCAGGAGAGAGGCAUUUUUCAAAGACUCUGAAAUAUGUGUUAAAUCAGUGUAGUCCAGGAUCAUACUAUAUUAAAAAAAUCUUAUAAAGUUUAAUGGGUCCAUGCAUCAUUGGUUUUGGCAAAAUUCUUCCCUUCACUCUAAUUGUUAUUACCAGGACCUUAAAAAAAAUCUAUAAUUCUACAAGUUUAGUCAUUUCACACUGAGUAGAAAGGGUUCAGUGAGUACUAAUAUGUACAUAUGAAUUCAUUAAAACAUAUGUAAAUGAAUAUCAUGAAAAAAAUGUCCACUAGUUACUGAAAUUUCCAAUAGAAAUAGAAAAAUGCUACUUUAUAAUAUGCCAAGUAUUUUCUGCUAAUUUAUAUUGUCAGUAUAAGUAAGUUUUGUCACUUUCAAAACCUAUGUACCUAUCCUGUGAUCUAAUGAAGCAAAAAAAAAAAAA
rnacentral:lncRNA from 1 species